UUGCUGGCCCAGACACUAUGCAGCUCUUUACUUCUCAAGGCUCAGACCUAUCUGUGCCUGCCAAGAACCAUGAAGAGUCUGGGAUUUUACAAUACUUGCAAGGUGUUUGCAUCUGGCUUUCUGGACCAGAGUGUAACCUCCCUCCAUCGAGACGCUUCUUGUGCAUCCACCCAGAUCCUCUCAGCCUCACCUGUCUCAGGCCCUCUGCCACUGUCCCACCUCCAGCGUCACCACAGCGAUCAGGGCUCCAUGGACUCCACCCAGCUUCUGGCUCCUGGGGCCACUUUGCUCAGCAAAGGAGACACACAAUGGAAGCAUGACUUGGGGUUCGCUGGUCUUACUAUGUUCCCCGCCAUCCAGGAGGAGCAGCCUAAAGGCACAGCAGAAUGAACAAAGGUACCAGCUCAGUGACAAUACUCCAAAGGGCUAGGGCACUACUGCACCAGCAUCCUGUACGGUGGCACGUCCCCAGCAGCCAUGGUGUAGAGUCUGGGAACCAGGGAGUGGGUGGAGGACUUGCCUUCUCCCCACACCUCUCUCCUCAACUUGCAGAGUCUAUGCUCUGUCUGCAAACUAGACUCUGCCAGGUAAGAGCGCUGGUUGUCAGGGAGGACUCUCUUCUGCCAUUCAGAGUGCCACUGGCCCUGAAGCUGAGACUAUAACUUGGUGCUUUGAUGCUCCCCAUGCCAGUGGGUUUUCCAGGUGGCACGAGUGAUGAAGAAGCUGCCUGCCAAUGCAGGAGACGCAGGAGAUCCCUGAGUCAGGAAGAUCCGCUGGAGUAGAAAAUAACAGUCCACUCCAGUACUCUUGCCUGGAGAACCUCAUGGACAGAGGAGCCUGGAGGGCUACAGUCCACAGGGUCACAAAGAGUCGUACAUGACUGAAGCGACUUAGCACAUGCCAGUGGACAGACGGACAAAGGCAGGAUUUGCUGUACUAGCAGGAUUAAUAACCCUGAUCCCCAGAAAGAGCUAAGUUGUUGCUACACAAUGGGUGCAGAGAGGAUUAACUACUAGAACCCAGGGCAUUUAUGGGGCUUUUCUAGGUGCAGCGAAAACUAUAAAAGCGUAACUGCAGGAAC
ensembl:lncRNA